GCUUUGAUAGCUCAGUUGGGAGAGCAUUGCACCUGUAUUGCAAAGGUCGUGGGUUCAAAUCCUGUUCAAAGCC